UACGAAGGGGGCUAGCGUUGUUCGGAAUUACUGGGCGUAAAGGGCGCGUAGGCUGUGCUGUAAGUCAGGCGUGAAAUCCCCGGGCUCAACCUGGGAAUUGCGCCUGAUACUGCGGCGCUGGAGGACGUGAGAGGAUGGCGGAAUUCCCAGUGUAGAGGUGAAAUGCGUAGAUAUUGGGAAGAACACCGGUGGCGAAGGCGGCCAUCUGGCACGUAUUUGACGCUGAGGCGCGAAAGCGUGGGGAGCAAACAGG
rnacentral:rRNA from 1 species